rnacentral:rRNA from 1 species
UACAGAGGGGGCGAGCGUUGUUCGGAAUUACUGGGCGUAAAGGGCGCGUAGGCGGCCUUCUAAGUCGAACGUGAAAUCCCCGGGCUCAACCCGGGAACUGCGUCCGAUACUGGAUGGCUUGAGUUCGGGAGAGGGAUGCGGAAUUCCAGGUGUAGCGGUGAAAUGCGUAGAUAUCUGGAGGAACACCGGUGGCGAAGGCGGCAUCCUGGACCGACACUGACGCUGAGGAGCGAAAGCCAGGGGAGCAAACGGG